GUCUAAAAACAAUAUUCAGUUAAUGGAAUUACACUUUUUUCCAUUACUGCUUGCUUGAUAUUGCCCUAACAACUUUUUCAUGAAUCAAUUUUGAGCAUUAUGUUUACAACGUAGUUAUUAUAGCACGAAAUAUGAGUCUAAAAUGCCAAAUACUUGCAACUAUUAUGUUAAUCACUGAAAUCUUAGUGUACUAAUUGCUCGCUAUAAGCUAGGUUAUUGCGCCCCUAAACCAACGUACUGACAACGCUACCUCCCCGGAACUCAAACUUUAACCGGGCAUGACUUGGUACAUCCAGUGACCCAGCAAAAAGUAGCCUCGGUACAGCCAGAAGUAGCAACAAAUCGCAAAAGGGGAUCCUUGUCUGACUGGUGGCUGGACCACAUGGUAGGUCACCAUCAAAUAAGGGAGUGGAUCCAGCACAGCUGGAUAGAGGGGGCCCCGUUGAGGGCGAAGCCUGAAUAUGGUGAGGGACCAAAGGUGCCAUCAUCGAGGGCCCAGAUAGAUGAAGAGAUUGAAGCCUGGGCUGCACACAAUCCUGUUAGAAACAAAAAGCAUCAUUGUUAUUUUGAAAAAUCCUGCCAAAAUUCUGUUGACUGUUUGUUGUCGACAAGAGUCUAUGUUUCAUGAAUAACAAGGCUGUGUUCUGUA